rnacentral:rRNA from 1 species
AUUGAACGCUGGCGGCAGGCCUAACACAUGCAAGUCGAGCGGAUGAAGGGAGCUUGCUCCUGGAUUCAGCGGCGGACGGGUGAGUAAUGCCUAGGAAUCUGCCUGGUAGUGGGGGAUAACGUCCGGAAACGGGCGCUAAUACCGCAUACGUCCUGAGGGAGAAAGUGGGGGAUCUUCGGACCUCACGCUAUCAGAUGAGCCUAGGUCGGAUUAGCUAGUUGGUGGGGUAAAGGCCUACCAAGGCGACGAUCCGUAACUGGUCUGAGAGGAUGAUCAGUCACACUGGAACUGAGACACGGUCCAGACUCCUACGGGAGGCAGCAGUGGGGAAUAUUGGACAAUGGGCGAAAGCCUGAUCCAGCCAUGCCGCGUGUGUGAAGAAGGUCUUCGGAUUGUAAAGCACUUUAAGUUGGGAGGAAGGGCAGUAAGUUAAUACCUUGCUGUUUGGACGUUACCAACAGAAUAAGCACCGGCUAACUUCGG